AUUGAACGCUGGCGGCAUGCUUUACACAUGCAGGUCGAACGGCAGCACGGGCUUCGGCCUGGUGGCGAGUGGCGAACGGGUGAGUAAUGCAUCGGAACGUGCCCAUUUGUGGGGGAUAACUACGCGAAAGCGUGGCUAAUACCGCAUACGCCCUGAGGGGGAAAGCGGGGGAUUCUUCGGAACCUCGCGCAAUUGGAGCGGCCGAUGUCAGAUUAGCUUGUUGGUGAGGUAAAGGCUCACCAAGGCGACGAUCUGUAGCGGGUCUGAGAGGAUGAUCCGCCACACUGGGACUGAGACACGGCCCAGACUCCUACGGGAGGCAGCAGUGGGGAAUUUUGGACAAUGGGGGCAACCCUGAUCCAGCCAUGCCGCGUGAGUGAAGAAGGCCUCGGUUGUAAGCUCUUCAGCGGAGAAACGACACUCUCUACAUAGGUGUGGAUGACGGUACCGGAACGAAGAAGACGACCGGCUAACUACGUAGCCAGCAGCCG
rnacentral:rRNA from 1 species